rnacentral:rRNA from 1 species
GAUGAACGCUGGCGGCGUGCCUAACACAUGCAAGUCGAACGAACGGACGAUAAGCUUUCUUCUUUGCUGUUAGCGGCUGGCGGGUGAGUAACACGUGUAUAACCUACUUCUAAUUCUUGGAUAAUUUCGUGAAACCGCAUCUAAUACUGUAUAAUAUUUUUUACCGCAUGGUUCAAAAGUUAAUGACGGCCUUGCUGUCUCUUAUCGCUGGUUCCGGGCUGCAUUAGCUAGUUGGUACGGUAAAGGCCUAUCAAGGCAACGAUGCGUAGCUGACCUGAGAGGAUGAUCGGCCACACUGGAACUGAGACACGGUCCAGACUCCUACGGGAGGCAGCAGUAGGGAAUAUUAGGCAAUGGGCGAAAGCCUGACGGAGCAAGACCGCGUGAGUGAAGAAGGUCUUCGGAUCGUAAAACUCUGUUAUUGGGGAAGAAAAUAUGUAGAAGAAAAUGUGGCCAUUCUGACGGUACCUAAUCAAAAAGCAACGGCUAACUACGUG